rnacentral:rRNA from 1 species
GACGAACGCUGGCGGCGUGCUUAACACAUGCAAGUCGAACGGUAGGGCCCUGCUUUUGUGGGGUGCUCGAGUGGCGAACGGGUGAGUAACACGUGAGUAACCUGCCCUUGACUUUGGGAUAACUUCAGGAAACUGGGGCUAAUACCGGAUAGGAGCUCCUGCUGCAUGGUGGGGGUUGGAAAGUUUCGGCGGUUGGGGAUGGACUCGCGGCUUAUCAGCUUGUUGGUGGGGUAGUGGCUUACCAAGGCUUUGACGGGUAGCCGGCCUGAGAGGGUGACCGGCCACAUUGGGACUGAGAUACGGCCCAGACUCCUACGGGAGGCAGCAGUGGGGAAUAUUGCACAAUGGGCGGAAGCCUGAUGCAGCAACGCCGCGUGCGGGAUGACGGCCUUCGGGUUGUAAACCGCUUUCGCCUGUGACGAAGCGUGAGUGACGGUAAUGGGUAAAGAAGCACCGGCUAACUACGUG